UACGUAGGGGGCGAGCGUUGUCCGGAUUAUUGGGCGUAAAGAGCGUGUAGGCGGCCAGGUAGGUCUGCUGUGAAAACUCGAGGCUCAACCUCGAGACGUCGGCGGAAACCAUCUGGCUAGAGUCCGGAAGAGGAGAGUGGAAUUCCUGGUGUAGCGGUGAAAUGCGCAGAUAUCAGGAAGAACACCCCGUGGCGAAGGCGGCUCUCUGGGACGGUACUGACGCUGAGACGCGAAAGCGUGGGGAGCGAACAGG
rnacentral:rRNA from 1 species